GAGUUUGAUCGUGGCUCAGAUUGAACGCUGGCGGCAUGCCUUACACAUGCAAGUCGAACGGCAGCACGGGAGCUUGCUCCUGGUGGCGGACGGGUGAGUAACGCGUGAGGAACCUGCCUUUCAGAGGGGGAUAACGUCUGGAAACGGACGCUAAUACCGCAUGACAUCAGAGGGUCACAUGGCUUUCUGAUCAAAGGAGCAAUCCGCUGAAAGAUGGACUCGCGUCCGAUUAGCCAGUUGGCGGGCAAAGGCCCACCAAAGCGACGAUCGGUAGCCGGGCUGAGAGGCUGAACGGCCACAUUGGGACUGAGACACGGCCCAGACUCCUACGGGAGGCAGCAGUGGGGGAUAUUGCACAAUGGAGGAAACUCUGAUGCAGCAACGCCGCGUGAGGGAAGACGGUCUUCGGAUUGUAAACCUUUGUCCUCGGUGACGAUAAUGACGGUAGCCGAGGAGGAAGACUCGGCUAACUACGUGACAGCAG
rnacentral:rRNA from 1 species